rnacentral:rRNA from 1 species
UAUGGCUGUUCGCCAUUUAAAGUGGUACGCGAGCUGGGUUCAGAACGUCGUGAGACAGUUCGGUCCCUAUCUGCCGUGGGCGUUGGAUGAUUGAAGGGAGUUGCUCCUAGUACGAGAGGACCGGAGUGAACGAACCUCUGGUGUUCGGGUUGUCACGCCAGUGGCACUGCCCGGUAGCUAAGUUCGGAAUCGAUAACCGCUGAAAGCAUCUAAGCGGGAAGCGAGCCCUGAGAUGAGUCAUCCCUGACCCCUUGAGGGUCCUAAAGGGCCGUUGGAGACCACAACGUUGAUAGGUGGGGUGUGUAAGCGCAGUGAUGUGUUGAGCUAACCCAUACUAAUUACCCGUGAGGCUUAACCAUACAACACCCAAGAAGUGUUCUG